ACGUGGCUUCCACUGCAUCUGAAGACUGAACUCCCUGACUCAGAAAUCUCUUAAGGUCCACAGUGAGGCCCUCCAGGGACCUGAGGGUACAAUCCUCAGGAUGUCCCAAAGGAAAUAGAAGUCAGAACCAGAGCCUCUAACCCAUAGCCCUAGUGAUGGGGCCCCCCGUACAUCAUCUGUUGGCUGGCCUGUGUGUGGGGGUGGCCUUGGGCUGGGUAGAAGGCUCAGUCCCCAACCUGGGCCCAGCCGAACAGGAACAGAACCACUACCUGGCCCAGCUGUUCGGUCUAUAUGGAGAGAAUGGGACAUUGACUGCUGGGGGCCUGGCCCGGCUUCUCCACAGCCUAGGACUGGGCCGAGUUCAGGGGCUCCGCCUGGGACACCAAGAGCCUCCAACUGGGCGGGCUGCACCCAUGAGUGGCGACAAUUUCACACACAGGCUUCAGGAACUGGAGCUGAGUGUGGAUGUCUGGGCAGGAAUGCCUCUGAGCCCUUCAGGUUGGGGUGACCAGGAGGACUCAAAGGCACAUGACCUGCAUGGGUCAGGGCCCUCGGGCCUAGACCUCUUCCACAGGCUUCUGCUGCUGGACCAUUCGUUGGCUGACCAUCUGAACGAGGAUUGUCUGAAUGGUUCCCAGCUGCUGGUCAAUUUUGGGCUGAGUCCUGUUGCUCCUCUGACCCCACCACAGGAACGGAGGCGGGACACAGGGCCAGUAGGAGCAAUAGGAUUUUAAUAAACAGAACCCAUCCC
rnacentral:lncRNA from 1 species